AUUAGUUCUGCCGCUGGGUUGGGGCAGAGGGAGUGAUUGUAUGCCCAGGAGGGGGAUGGGUGCAGGGUCCAGGGGGUCCAAGCAAAUGCUUGCCCGGGGUUCAAUCAAUAUUAAAGACGGCCCUGUGAGGAAGAUUACAAAGAGCUGGAAACAUAGAAUGUGAUGGCAGAUAAGAACCAUUUGGCCCAUCUAGUCUGGCCAAUUUUCUAAAUACUUUCAUUAGUUCCUGGCAUUAUCUUAGAUCUAGGAUAGCCUUAUGCCUAUCCCACGCAUGCUUAAGCUUAAACUCCUUCACUGUGUUAACCUCUACCACUUCAGCUGGAAGGCUUUUCCAUGCAUCCACUACCCUCUCAGUAAAGUAAUUGUAACGGAUCACCUGGCACCCCAACUGGGUACCUCCGUUAAAGGAUGCUCCUAGCGCUUACAGAGGGCUCCAAGCACUCCGCAGACACCACAACCACCGCAG